GAAUUCUGUUUUUCCUCCUGGUCAACAGGAGCUUUGUACUGAAAAGGAAAUUUAAAAGUCUAAAAAAUGCACCAAAGUCAAUUUUGGAUUAUUGUCCUUUUCUGCAGUCUUAUUUUCUCUUCAUUCUCCCAGACUCCAGUUGUACAAAAUGCAGCAUCUAUUGUUCAGCCAUCUCCUGCACAUGUGGGACAGCAGGGCUUAUCCAAGCUUCCCUCCCGGCCUGGAGCACAAGGGGAACCUCAAAAUUUGAGAACAUUACAGGUAUGUGAUACAUAGUAGGAUCUUAGUGUUGGAGUACCCUGCCUAUCCUCUUCUGUUUUUUCUUCUCUAGAGAAUCUCUAACUUCUCUAGAGAGGGUUCAUACUUUUUCUAACUGUCCAGCCAUAUAGAAUUAGUUUAUACCAAACAGCCAAGGACUUUCUAGCCACUAAUGAGCAUUUAGAGAGUUGAUAAUUUCAUCUAAGUCUCUAUAGGAUAAAUUUAUCAAGUCUGUCUUACGUUCCAGUGGUUUUAUUCAGUUUUGAAUUAUAGACUGUGUUUUCCCGUUUGCAUUUUAUGGAGCAUUAUACUACCUGUGACUGGUUCUUUUCCUCAUCUUCCCCUUCAGGGUCAUAGUGUCAUCCGUUCAGCGACCAAUACCACCCUUCCACACAUGUUGAUGUCUCAACGUGUUAUCGCACCAAAUCCAGCCCAGCUACAGGGUCAACGGGGGCCGCCUAAGCCUGGCCUUGUACGUACCACAACACCCAAUAUGAAUCCCGCCAUCAAUUAUCAACCGGUAAGAAAGAGCCCUACCUAAUGUGGAAACAGAAAUUUUUUAUUUGCUUUUCUUGUUGAAUGGGCCAAAGGUUUUUAGUUUUUGUACAUAGAGAAACAAGGUUGAUUUAGGUGGAGCUUGAAUAGAAUUCAUUUUCCAAAGUGGAAGCUUUGAGGAGUUAUGAAAAUAGUAGUGGGGAAAAAAAGAUAGCUUAUAUAGCAGAGCUGAAUUAGCGAAAAAUCUGCUUAAGAGAAAGAAAUGGACCUAGGUAAAAAAAAGCACAAGGAAGCAUGACAGAAUCCCAUUUUUUCCUCUUUUGUCAGUUUAGCUCAUAAUCAUCAUCAUCCUUUUUUCCUAUAUGCCAGAGUUCUCUUUCAAUGAAUAAGUUGAAUACUUUGUAUUUUGAGGAAAUGAAGCAGUCCAGACGAGGAUCAGAUAUUAACCUUUGAUAAAAAGCAAGAAUUGGUCUCCCACAUACCAACCGUCACUGAUACAUCAUCUCAAUCUGUUUCAGCAGUCAAGUUCUUCUGUUCCCUGUCAGCGCACAACAUCCUCCGCUAUCUAUAUGAACCUUGCCUCCCAUAUCCAGCCAGGAACCGUGAACAGAGUGUCCUCACCACUUCCUAGCCCCAGCGCCAUGACCGAUGCUGCCAACUCACAGGCUGCAGCCAAAUUGGCCCUUCGCAAACAGCUGGAAAAGACACUCCUGGAGAUCCCACCUCCAAAACCUCCUGCUCCCUUGCUUCACUUCCUGCCUAGUGCAGCCAAUAGUGAGUUCAUCUACAUGGUAGGCUUGGAAGAAGUCGUACAGAGUGUCAUUGACAGCCAAGGUAAGA
rnacentral:lncRNA from 1 species